GGCUCAUGGAGCAGGAACUUAGGGUCCUCCAGAGGCUCAUGGGAGCAGAAGCUUUGGGUCCUCCGGGGCUCAUGGGAACAGGAAUUUGGGGUGCCCCACAGGCUUAUGAGAGCAGUUUAGGGUCUGCCAGAGGCUCAUGGGAGUAGGAGUUUAGGGUCCCCCAGAGGCUCAUGGGAGCAGGAGUUUAGGGUACCCAGAGGCUAGUGGGAACAGGGGUUUGGGGUCCCCCAGAGGCUCAUGGGAGCAGAAACUUGAGUCAUCCAGAGGCUCAUGGGAGCAGGAAUUUGGGGUUCCCCAGAGGCUCAUGGGAGCAGUUUAAGGUCCCCCAGAGGCUCAUGGGAGCUGGAGUUUAGGGUCCCCCAGUGAAUCAUGGGAGCAGGAGUUUUAGGGUCCCCCAGAGGCUCAUGGGAACAGGG
rnacentral:lncRNA from 1 species